rnacentral:rRNA from 1 species
UACGAAGGGGGCUAGCGUUGUUCGGAAUUACUGGGCGUAAAGCGCGCGCAGGCGGUUCUCCAAGUCAGUGGUGAAAGCCCGGAGCUCAACUCCGGAAUUGCCAUUGAAACUGUUGAACUUGAGGACGAGAGAGGUUAGUGGAAUUCCCAGUGUAGAGGUGAAAUUCGUAGAUAUUGGGAAGAACACCCGUGGCGAAGGCGGCUCUCUGGGACGGUACUGACGCUGAGACGCGAAAGCGUGGGGAGCGAACAGG